GACGAACGCUGGCGGCGUGCCUAAUACAUGCAAGUCGAACGGGGCGGCGAACGGGUGAGUAACGCGUGAGUAACUGCCCCCCUCUCUGGGAUAACAGUUGGAAACGGCUGCUAAUACCGGAUAGUGGGGGAUGACUCGCGUCCUAUCAGCUUGUUGGUGGGGUAGUGGCCUACCAAGGCGAAGAAGGGUAGCUGGUCUGAGAGGAUGAACAGCCACAUUGGGCUGAGAGACGGCCCAAACUCCGACGGGAGGCAGCAGUGGGGAAUAUUGCACAAUGGGGGAAACCCUGAUGCAGCAACGCGCGUGCGGGAUGACGGCCUUCGGGUUGUAAACCGCUUUCAGCCAUGACGCGGUAGUGGCAGAAGAAGCACCGGCUAACUACGUGCCAGCAGCCGCGGUAAUUC
rnacentral:rRNA from 1 species